AGAACGAACGCUGGCGGCAGCUUAACACAUGCAAGUCGAGCGCCCCGCAAGGGGAGCGGCAGACGGGUGAGUAACGCGUGGGAACAUACCCUCCGGUUCGGAAUAGCUCAGGGAAACUUGGAUUAAUACCGGAUACGGCCUAGCGGCGAAAGAUUCAUCGCCGGAGGAUUGGCCCGCGUCUGAUUAGCUAGUUGGUGGGGUAAUGGCCCACCAAGGCGACGAUCAGUAGCUGGUCUGAGAGGAUGAUCAGCCACAUUGGGACUGAGACACGGCCCAAACUCCUACGGGAGGCAGCAGUGGGGAAUAUUGGACAAUGGGCGCAAGCCUGAUCCAGCCAUGCCGCGUGAGUGAUGACGGCCUUAGGGUUGUAAAGCUCUUUCGCUAGGGACGAUAAUGACGGUACCUAGACAAGAAGCCCCGGCUAACUUCGUGCCAGCAGCCGC
rnacentral:rRNA from 1 species